rnacentral:rRNA from 1 species
GAUGGGAAACAGGUUAAUAUUCCUGUACUCGGUGUUACUGCGAAGGGGGGACGGAGAAGGCUAUGUUGGCCGGGCGACGGUUGUCCCGGUUUAAGCAUGUAGGCGGAGGUUCCAGGUAAAUCCGGAAUCUUAUUCAACGCUGAGGUGUGAUGACGAGGCACUACGGUGCUGAAGCAACAAAUGCCCUGCUUCCAGGAAAAGCCUCUAAGCAUCAGGUAACAUCAAAUCGUACCCCAAACCGACACAGGUGGUCAG